rnacentral:rRNA from 1 species
UGAGUACGAGCUGCUACGGCAGCGGAGUGGGUGAUGUCAAGCUUCCAAGAAAAGCCCUAUACCCGUUAAGGCAUGAUGGCCUGUACCCGAAACCGACACAGGUGGGGUGGUAGAGAAUACCGAGGGGCGCGAGAUAACUCUCUCUAAGGAACUCGGCAAAAUGGCCCCGUAACUUUGGGAGAAGGGGUGCCACCGCAAGGUGGUCGCAGUGAAGAGGCCCAGGCGACUGUUACCAAAAACACAGGUCUCCGCUAAGUCGCAAGACGAUGUAUGGGGGCUGACGCCUGCCCAGUGCCGGAAGGUUAAGGAAGCUGGUCAGCGUAAGCGAAGCUAGCGACUGAAGCCCCGGUGAACGGCGGCCGUAACAAUAACGGUCCUAAGGUAGCGAAAUUCCUUGUCGGGUAAGUUCCGACCCGCACGAAAGGCGUAACGAUCUGGGCGCUGUCUCGGAGAGAGGCUCGGCGAAAUAGAAUUGUCUGUGAAGAUGCGGACUACGUGCACCCGGACAGAAAGACCCUAUGAAGCUUUACUGUAGCUUGGUAUUGUGCUCGGGCUCGGAAUGCGCAGGAUAGGUGGGAGGCUAUGAACCAUUGCUUGUGGGUGAUGGUGAGCCACUGGUGAGAUACCACUCUUUCCGAGCUAGAGUUCUAACAGCCACCCGUUAUCCGGGGGCUGGACAGUAUCAGGUGGGCAGUUUGACUGGGGCGGUCGCCUCCUAAAAGGUAACGGAGGCGCGCAAAGGUUUGCUCAGGCUGGUUGGAAAUCAGCCGACGAGUGUAAAAGCAGAAGCAAGCUUGACUGUGAGACCUACAAGUCGAACAGGGAGGAAACUCGGCUUUAGUGAUCCGACGGUUCUGCGUGGAAGGGCCGUCGCUCAACGGAUAAAAGUUACUCUAGGAUAACAGGCUGAUCUCCCCCAAGAGUUCACAUCGACGGGGAGGUUUGGCACCUCGAUGUCGGCUCAUCGCAACCUGGGGCUGAAGUCGGUCCCAAGGGUUGGGCUGUUCGCCCAUUAAAGCGGUACGCGAGCUGGGUUCAGAACGUCGUGAGACAGUUCGGUCCAUAUCCGGUGCAUGCGCAGGAAUAUUGAGAGGAUUUCUCCCUAGUACGAGAGGACCGGGAGGAACGCACCUCUGGUGUACCAGUUAUCGUGCCAACGGUAAACGCUGGGUAGUCAUGUGCGGAGAGGAUAACCGCUGAAAGCAUCUAAGUGGGAAGCCCACCUCAAGAUGAGUAUUCCCAUGGGGUAACCCAGUAAGGUCACGGGAAGAACACCCGUUGAUAGGCUCUACGUGGAAGCGCAGUAAUGUGUGAAGCGGAGGAGUACUAAUAGACC